ensembl:snRNA U6 U6 spliceosomal RNA
CAGCAUAGAUUAGCAUGGCCCCUGCGCUAGGAUGACAUGCAAAUUAGGAAGUGUUCUGUAUUUUU